GGGCGCAWKYYUGAUGCAGCRACNGCCGCGUGAGGGAUGGAGGCCUUCGGGUUGUAAACCUCUUUUGUUUGGGAGCAAGCCUUCGGGUGAGUGUACCUUUCGAAUAAGCGCCGGCUAACUACGUGCCAGCAGCCGCGGUAAUACGUAGGGCGCAAGCGUUAUCCGGAUUUAUUGGGCGUAAAGGGCUCGUAGGCGGCUCGUCGCGUCCGGUGUGAAAKUYCAUCGCUUAACGGUGGAUCUGCGCCGGGUACGGGCGGGCUGGAGUGCGGUAGGGGAGACUGGAAUUCCCGGUGUAACGGUGGAAUGUGUAGAUAUCGGGAAGAACACC
rnacentral:rRNA from 1 species